CUUCGGUCGAUUUUGGCAGCAUCUACGUCUAUCUUCUAGAAACACCAGGAAGACAAGUCUUGUUUUAAUUUAGUUUGAAUUCAUGGCAAUUCAUGCUGAGUGUGGAUCGAAACAUAGUACAGGACAACAUCCCCUCCUUGGUUUCUGCCCUGUCCAUGAUGUUUGGGAGCUAUUACUGCUUCAACAUCGCCUACCCGUCAGAGCUGGCAUCCACCCUGGAGUUUGUCCAGAGGUGUUUUUUCUCCAUCAACCCAGAGAAGGGUACCAAAGUGGAGAAGACAUGCGCAUCCCGUCUUCAGGUGAACCCGAGAGUCCUCACCUUGAUACAGGAACUUUCGGACCAUGAGUGGCGUGAUGUCUGAAUAUUAGUUACAGUCUGUUUGAUUGUUUAAAUCAUAGUUAACAUUGGGAAGUGCCUUUUUUUUAUGUUCUUUUAACUCAUUUAAAAAAAUGCAAUAUGUAACUCUCAAAAUGUCAAACUAUUCUUUUAAGGUCAUUGUAGCCACUCUUGCGGUUUGCUGUUACAAAGUGAAGUUGCUUAAACAAUCUUCAUUUGGCUUAUGUGGAUGUAAAAGCUCAGGACAUUACUGUUGAGUGUAAAAAUGUUGACGUGUUUUGUUUUCCACUUGGGUUUUUGCUUCUGAAGUGAAGGGUCUCUGCUGACCCUACCUCUUCACCUAUCUCACUUAGACACACACUCACAUGUGUUUUGCAACUGUAGCUUCAUCACGUACACACUUCCUUUAGCAAUGAACAUGUAUUCAACUAAGACAAUCCCUUAUUUUGGCUAAGUUACAGCUCAGUCUGUGGCUGUGACAGUCGAGUAUUAUAUUAUACAGGUGCCCACUAUAAGAGAUGAGACAUAUAAAGUACUAAAAUAUUUAAAAACAUUAUUUCCCAUAAAUCAUUUGAUGUGAUGUAAGUAACCUCUCAACUUUGUUCAGCUUGAAUUUCCUGGACAAUGUGAGCUGUUUGUUUAUUGUGCAGCCUUAGUUUGUAUGUUUUACCAAUAUGUAUGUUGAGAAAUGACAGAUGUUUUUGAACACUGCUAUUAUAUAUAUAUAAUAAAUUCUUGGAAAGGCAA